CCUACGGGUGGCUGCAGUGAGGAAUAUUGGUCAAUGGACGCGAGUCUGAACCAGCCAAGUCGCGUGCGGGAAGACGGCCCUAUGAGUUGUAAACCUCUUUUGUCGGGGGGCAAAGACAGUUACGCGUGUCUCAUUGAGAGUAUCCGACGAAUAAGCAUCGGCUAACUCCGUGCCAGCAGCCGCGGUAAUACGGAGGAUUCAAGCGUUAUCCGGAUUUAUUGGGUUUAAAGGGUGCGCAGGCGGAGGGGCAAGUUAGAGGUAAAAUCCCGGGGCUCAACCCCGUACUGCCGUUGAAACUGCUUCGCUUGAGAGUGCGUGAGGUAUGCGGAAUGUAUGGUGUAGCGGUGAAAUGCAUAGAGAUCACACAGAACUCCGAUUGCGAAGGCAGCAUACC
rnacentral:rRNA from 1 species